rnacentral:rRNA from 1 species
GACGAACGCUGGCGGCACGCCUAACACAUGCAAGUCGAACGGACUUAUAAGAGCUUGCUUUUUUAAGUUAGUGGCGGACGGGUGAGUAACACGUGAGUAACCUGCCUCUGAGAGGGGGAUAGCUUCUGGAAACGGAUGGUAAUACCCCAUAAAAUAUAAAUAUAGCAUGAUAGCUAUAUCAAAGAAAUUCGCUCAGAGAUGGGCUCGCGUCUGAUUAGAUAGUUGGUGAGGUAACGGCUCACCAAGUCGACGAUCAGUAGCCGGACUGAGAGGUUGAACGGCCACAUUGGGACUGAGACACGGCCCAGACUCCUACGGGAGGCAGCAGUGGGGAAUAUUGCACGAUGGAGGGAACUCUGAUGCAGCGGUGUCGCGUGGAGGAAGAAGGUUGUCGGAUUGUAAACUCCUUUUAUCAGGGGCGAUAAUGACGGUACCUGAAGAAAAAGCUCCGGCUAACUACGUG